CCCGCCGAACUUAAGCAUAUCAAUAAGCGGAGGAAAAGAAACUAACAAGGAUUCCCCUAGUACCUGCGAGUGAAGCGGGAAAAGCUCAAAUGUGAAAUCUGGCGGCUCUGGUGUCCGCGUUGUCUUCUGGAGAAGUGCCUUCCGCGCCGGACCGUGUACAAGUCCCUUGGAACAGGGCGUCAUAGAGGGUGAGAAUCCCGUCUUUGACACGGACCCCCGGUGCUCUGCGAUGCGCUCUCGAAGAGUCGAGUUGUUUGGGAAUGCAGCUCAAAAUGGGUGGUAAAUUCCAUCUAAAGCUACAUAUUGGCGAGAGACCGCUAGCGAACAAGUACCGUGAGGGAAAGAUGAAAAGCACUUUGGAAAGAGAGUAAAACAGUACGUGAAAUUGUUGAAAGGGAAACGCUUGAAGUCAGUGGCGUCUGCUCGGAACUGAGCCCUCGCCUCUCCUUGGCGCACUCUCCGGUCCGACGCUGCCAGCAUCGCUUUCGUGGGGCCGACACUGGCGGGGGGAAGGUGGUGGCUCCGGCCGCGUCAUAGCCCUCUGUCGCAAACGUCUCGAGGGACCGACGAAUCCGGCGCAAGCCUGGGAUGCUGGCGUAAUGGCUUUAAACGACCCGUCUUGAAACACGG
rnacentral:rRNA from 1 species